CUGGAUCCGUGCAGUCGCUG
rnacentral:misc_RNA from 1 species